AGCCAUGUACUGAGCACAAAGCGAACUAUUCUUUCGCCUUUUACUAAAGAAUACCGUGUGCUCUCUAUGCUAAAUGGCAUACACCUAUUUUUGGAGGAGUUACUUCUUCUGAAGUGAA
rfam:Brassica napus, WGS project CCCW01000000 data, contig: 3785